ensembl:snRNA U6 U6 spliceosomal RNA
GUGUUCACUUUGACAGCACAUACACUAAAACUGGAACAACACCGAGAGGAUUAGCAGGGCCCCUGUGCAAGGAUGACACGCAAAAAGUAG